rnacentral:rRNA from 1 species
AACGAACGCUGGCGGCGUGCCUAACACAUGCAAGUCGUGCGAGAAAGUCUCCUUCGGGAGGCGAGUAAAGCGGCGCACGGGUGAGUAACACGUGGGUAACCUGCCUUUGAGACUGGGACAACCCAGGGAAACCCGGGCUAAUACCAGAUACGGCCUCGGGAUCUUCGGAUCCUGAGGCGAAAUGAUGGCCUAUGCUUGCAAGCCAUCGCUCGAAGAUGGGGCCCGCGGCCCAUUAGCUAGUUGGUGAGGUAACGGCUCACCAAGGCAAUGAUGGGUAGCUGGUCUGAGAGGAUGAUCAGCCACACUGGCACUGCGACACGGGCCAGACUCCUACGGGAGCAGCAGUAAGGAAUAUUGCGCAAGUGGGACGAAGCCUGACGCAGCGACGCCGCGGUGGGGAU